rnacentral:tRNA from 1 species
UGCCCGUUGGUGUAAUGGUAGCACAAGUGAUUCUGGUUCAUUUAGUCUAGGUUCGAGUCCUGGACGGGCAGCCA